rnacentral:rRNA from 1 species
UAGGGAAUCUUCCGCAAUGGGCGAAAGCCUGACGGAGCAACGCCGCGUGAGUGAUGAAGGUCUUCGGAUCGUAAAACUCUGUUAUUAGGGAAGAACAAAUGUGUAAGUAACUAUGCACGUCUUGACGGUACCUAAUCAGAAAGCCACGGCUAACUACGUGCCAGCAGCCGCGGUAAUACGUAGGUGGCAAGCGUUAUCCGGAAUUAUUGGGCGUAAAGCGCGCGUAGGCGGUUUUUUAAGUCUGAUGUGAAAGCCCACGGCUCAACCGUGGAGGGUCAUUGGAAACUGGAAAACUUGAGUGCAGAAGAGGAAAGUGGAAUUCCAUGUGUAGCGGUGAAAUGCGCAGAGAUAUGGAGGAACACCAGUGGCGAAGGCGACUUUCUGGUCUGUAACUGACGCUGAGGCUCGAAAGCGUGGGGAGCGAACAGG